CCAAUAGCGUAUAUUAAAGUUGUUGCAGUUAAAAAGCUCGUAGUUGAAUUUCGGGAUCAAUGUUUCGGUCAUGCCGUUGGUAUGUACUGAUAUUAUUGGUUUCUCACCUUCUAAAGAACCGUAAUGCCAUUAAUUUGGUGUCACGGGGAAUUAGGACUGUUACAUUGAAAAAAUUAGAGCGUUUAAAGCAGGAUCACGCUUGAAUACAUUAGCAUGGAAUAAUGAAAUAGGACAUCCGAUUCUAUUAUGUUGGUUUCUAGGAUCGAUGUAAUGAUUAAUAGAGAUAGUUAGGGGCAUUAGUAUUCAAUUGUCAGAGGUGAAAUUCUUGGAUUUAUUGAAGACUAACUACUGCGAAAGCAUUUGCCAAGGAUGUUUUCAUUAAUCAAGAACGAAAGUUAGGGGAUCGAAGACGAUCAGAUACCGUCGUAGUCUUAACCAUAAACUAUGCCAACUAGGGAUCGGAUGAUGUUAAUUUUUUAAUGGCUCACUCGGCGCCUUACG
rnacentral:rRNA from 1 species